UUGAGGGAACAUCUCAGAGGAGGAUGUUUUUUUUUGUCAGAAACUGCUAAUUCCAGUUUCAAAACUUACUCCAUUUGUUGGAAGAACAAAGAAGCCACAAGAAACAAACAAAGAAAAGCUCUGUGGAAAAAAGGGGAAUCAGUCAGACCGAGCAAGCAACUAAACAAGAGCCAACAUUCCAGAGAAGCUAACUAGCUACCAGUGUUCUCCUCAACAGGUCAGUGCACUGCCAUCCAAGUAGAGGCCUGAUAAUGUGCUGUGACCACUAAUCUGUCAACAAGUACAACGGUCUAUAUACAUUUUUGCAAUAAAGCUAUUCAUUAAUUUGGA